rfam:Echinostoma caproni strain Egypt genome assembly, scaffold: ECPE_scaffold0004100
GGCCUCGUAGCUCAGCAGGUGGAGCAUGCGCGUACAAAGCGUAGGCAGCGUCUUUGCGUGGGUUCGAAUCCCACCGAGGCUA